UUCUCUCUCACCCGCUCUCUCUCAUCACUUGACUCUCUCAGUGACUCAAGUUCCUCUUCUUCUUUUUUCCAGAUUUUCUCACCCGAUCUCUCAGUCACUCAGUCUCUCAGUCACUCACUCUCUCUCUCUCUCUCUCUCUCUCUCUCUCUCUCUCUCACUUGCUCUGACUGUCAUCUCCCUCAGCCAAUUUCUACAUGGUUCUCUCUCAGCCACUCUCGCUCUCUAUCAGCCGCUCUCUCUUAGUCUCUCUCGCUCUCUCUCAGUCAUUCUGAGUCUCCCUCUCUCGAUUAUUGUCGGUUCGAGAAUUGAUUUUGGGAUCAUAGGAAACGAUUGGCUUGCUCUAGAGGUGCAAAUUUGAUUUGAGGAGUGUAGAACUCAUGGAAUUGUUUGUGCAUAUGUAAUGGAAAUUUAUUUGUUUUCAUUUGGAUUUUCAUUUGAACUUUGCAAAUAUGCAGAUUGUGAUUGAGAUUACUCUCACAAUCUGAAUUGGUCUGUAAUAAUUAUUGGAUUAUUCGGACAUGUGUGGUGGAUGAUGAUUUUUUUAGGUUAUAAGGGUU